AAUAUUGCGCAAUGGCCGCAAGGCUGACGCAGCGACGCCGCGUGGGGGAUGAAGGCUCUCGGGUCGUAAAUCCUUUUUGGCUGGGACGACGACUGACGGUAACAGCCGAAGAAGCCCCGGCAAACUAAGUCCCAGCAGUCGCGGUAAUCCGCAGGGGGCGCGCGUUGUCCGGGUUUACUGGGCGUAAAGCGUCCGUAGGCGGCCGGCCCAGUCCGGUGUGAAAGCUCCCGGCUCAACCGGGAGAGGUCAUCGGAUGCUAGUCGGCUUGAGGGGAGCAGAGGCAGACGGAAUUCCCGGAGUAGUGGUGAUAUGCGUAGAGACCGGGAGGAACACCGGUGGCGAAGGCGGUCUGCUGGGCUCGCCCUGACGCUCAGGGACGAAAGCGUGGGGAGCGAACCGG
rnacentral:rRNA from 1 species